GACGAACCGAGCGAACGUUGUUCGGAAUCACUGGGCUUAAAGGGCGCGUAGGCGGGGUCAUAAGUCUGUGGUGAAAUCCUCCGGCUCAACCGGAGAACUGCCUCGGAUACUGUGGCUCUCGAGGGUGGUAGGGGUAUGCGGAACUAUCGGUGGAGCGGUGAAAUGCGUUGAUAUCGAUAGGAACUCCGGUGGCGAAGGCGGCAUACUGGACCACUUCUGACGCUGAGGCGCGAAAGCCAGGGGAGCAAACGGG
rnacentral:rRNA from 1 species